GGGCGCUGGAGGAGAACCGAGCCGGGGAAGGCAGCCGCUCGCUCCGCUGCUGCCUGGCGGAGCCUAGCACGGGCUGAGUCUCAAACCCCGCGUUGUGUGUGCCCUGCGCUGCCAGGCGCGAAUCCGGUCAGCUGGAAAGACUUCUGGGGACCCGGAGCGGAAGGACAGGUCUAAUUAUACACAUCCUUUGAAAAAAGAGAGAAAAAGGUAAGUAAGGAAUCAGAGAUGAGAGAAAAAUGGAAGAAUGUGAUUAAAUGUAU
rnacentral:lncRNA from 1 species